AUUAUAUUAAAUAAAUUAAAGUAGUAUUUAAACUAAUUUAAUAUGGCGGCAUAUUAUUAAAUUAGAGGAACUUGUCCUCUAAUCGAUAAUCCACGUUAAUUUUUUACUUUUUAUAAAAAUUUAUAUAUCGUUGUUUAGAAUUUUUUUUUAUUUAAAUUCAUAUUAUAAAAUAAAUCAAGGUGUAAUUAAUUAUAAAGUAUGAAGANUGUGUUAUUUNUAAAUAUUAUUUAAAGAUAUUUAUUGAAAUUUUUAUGAAAUUCAGAUUUAAUAAAGUAAUUAUNUAAAUAAAAAUUUAUUUNUUGAAUUAUAAAUAUAUGUGUACACAU
rnacentral:rRNA from 1 species